rnacentral:ncRNA from 2 species
UUCUUAUCAAGAGCAGGCGGAGGGACUAGCCCGAUGAAGCCCGGCAACCGGCGUGUAAAACGCACGGUGCUAAUUCUUGCGGAAACUUUAAUGUUUCUGAGAGAUGAGAG